rnacentral:rRNA from 1 species
UACGUAGGGUGCAAGCGUUGUCCGGAAUUAUUGGGCGUAAAGAGCUCGUAGGCGGUUUGUUGCGUCGGCUGUGAAAUCCCGAGGCUCAACCUCGGGUCUGCAGUCGAUACGAGCAAACUAGAGUGUUGCAGGGGAGACUGGAAUUCCUGGUGUAGCGGUGAAAUGCGCAGAUAUCAGGAGGAACACCGAUGGCGAAGGCAGCUCGCUGGGACGGUACUGACGCUGAGGCGCGAAAGCGUGGGGAGCGAGCAGG